CGACCGGCGCACGGGUGAGUAACGCGUAUCCAACCUGCCCUUUACUCCGGGAUAGUCUCCUGAAAGGGAGUUUAAUACCGGAUGUGUUUGUCUUUCCGCAUGGGAGCGACAAAUAAAGAUUAAUUGGUAAAGGAUGGGGAUGCGUCCCAUUAGCUUGUUGGCGGGGUAACGGCCCACCAAGGCGACGAUGGGUAGGGGUUCUGAGAGGAAGGUCCCCCACAUUGGAACUGAGACACGGUCCAAACUCCUACGGGAGGCAGCAGUGAGGAAUAUUGGUCAAUGGGCGGGAGCCUGAGCCAGCCAAGUAGCGUGAAGGACGACGGCCCUACGGGUUGUAAACUUCUUUUAUAAGGGAAUAAAGUUCGCCACGUGUGGUGUUUUGUAUGUACCUUAUGAAUAAGCAUCGGCUAAUUCCGUGCCAGCAGCCGCGGUAAUACGGAAGAUGCGAGCGUUAUCCGGAUUUAUUGGGUUUAAAGGGAGCGUAGGCGGGCUUUUAAGUCAGCGGUCAAAUGUCGUGGCUCAACCAUGUCAAGCCGUUGAAACUGUAAGCCUUGAGUCUGCACAGGGCACAUGGAAUUCGUGGUGUAGCGGUGAAGUGCUUAGAUAUCACGAAGAACUCCGAUCGCGAAGGCAUUGUGCCGGGGCAUAACUGACGCUGAGGCUCGAAAGUGCGGGUAUCAAACA
rnacentral:rRNA from 1 species